GCCGCGCUCAUGAUCGCGUUCACGCAGACGUGUUGAAUGGGUUGCUGCAUUGCAGAAAUUAGGAACAGCUGACAAGUUGGGCUACCUCGGGCGCUUGUGAACAGUGGUCAGAUCAGCUCUGGGUCCCCAGCUGAUCUCUUUUUUGUAUCAUUGAAAAUCAAAACUCAUAGACGCACUCCACACAAUCUGUGAAGCUGAGAACUUCUGUUGGAGGGAGAGAAAGACUGCCACGUGAUGCCACAUCUCUGCCUCAUCACCAGUAGACCACGUGCCAGCAUCCAAGAGGUGAAGGACUCACACCGAGAGCACAAACAGACUUGUCUGCCAAGUUAAAACGCACCGCCACACACCUCUCUCUCAGGUGCGUGUAGUACGGAUGACCCUGUGGUGAUCACAGGCUUGAGUGCAUUACUACC
rnacentral:lncRNA from 1 species